rnacentral:SRP_RNA from 1 species
CGGCGGGAAAGGCCGGGGAGCCAGCCCUUCCCUCCACCCGAAACGGGCUUCAUGCGGGGGCCGGAUAACCCGCGAGGGCGCGUGCGACCGGCCCGUUACUCGGCUGCGGGAAGGCGAUGAGGAUGCGCCGGAUGGGGGCGUCGUAGACGGGUAAAGCCUCUGUAGGGAGGCUCCAACCGUCGCAUGCGUCGAACCGUGUCAGGCCCGGGAGGGAGCAGCACUAAGACGCAGCGACGCAGCCCAUCCACAAGCGUGUCCGAGCAUGCCCGCAGCUUGAGUGCGGGUGCGGGUCCUCGCCACCUCGGGGGGCCGCCG